AGGGCACCACCAGGAGUGGAGCCUGCGGCUUAAUUUGACUCAACACGGGAAAACUCACUCGGCCCGGACACUGGAAGGAUUGACAGAUUGAGAGCUCUUUCUUGAUUCAGUGGGUGGUGGUGCAUGGCCGUUCUUAGUUGGUGGAGUGAUUUGUCUGGUUAAUUCCGAUAACGAACGAGACUCUAGCCUACUAAAUAGAUCGUCGGCUUACAAACGCCGGCGAGACUUCUUAGAGGGACAGGCGGUGAUUCAACCGCACGAAACAGAGCAAUAACAGGUCUGUGAUGCCCUUAGAUGUCCGGGGCCGCACGCGCGCUACACUGAAGUGAUCAGCGUGCUUGACCCAUUGCCGAAAGGCAUUGGUAAACCCUUGAAAAUCCUCCGUGAUCGGGAUCGGGAAUUGCAAUUAUUUCCCUUGAACGAGGAAUUCCCAGUAAGUGUGAGUCAUCAGCUCACGUUGAUUACGUCCCUGCCCUUUGUACACACCGCCCGUCGCUGCCCGGGACUGAGCCGUUUCGA
rnacentral:rRNA from 1 species